GUUCUCGUGGCCUAGUGGUUAUGGCAUCUGUCUUACAGUCUAGAGGUCAUCUAGUAUCUCUACAAUGGCGGCAACACAGAAGAUCCCCGGUUCGAUCCCGGGCGAGAACA